UACGUAGGGGGCUAGCGUUGUUCGGAUUCAUUGGGCGUAAAGGGUGCGUAGGCGGCGCGGUAAGUCGGGUGUGAAAUCUCGGGGCUUAACUCCGAAACUGCAUUCGAUACUGCCGUGCUUGAGGACUGGAAAGGAGACUGGAAUUUACGGUGUAGCGGUGAAAUGCGUAGAUAUCGUAAGGAAGACCAGUGGCGAAGGCGGGUCUCUGGACAGUUCCUGACGCUGAGGCACGAAGGUCAGGGGAGCAAACGGG
rnacentral:rRNA from 1 species